ensembl:piRNA 21ur-5333 ncRNA
UGUCAAUGUUUACAGAUAAGU